rnacentral:rRNA from 1 species
AUUGAACGCUGGCGGCAGGCUUAACACAUGCAAGUCGAGCGGGUGGCGGACGGGUGGGUAAGGCUUGGGAAUCGAGCUUAUGGAGGGGGAUAACUACGGGAAACUGUAGCUAAUACCGCGUACCAUAGGAUGAGCCCAAGUGGGAUUAGGUAGGUGGUGAGGUAAAGGCUCACCAAGCCGACGAUCUCUAGCUGGUCUGAGAGGAUGACCAGCCACACUGGGACUGAGACACGGUCCAGACUCCUACGGGAGGCAGCAGUGGGGAAUAUUGCGCAAUGGGGGCAAGCUGAUGCAGCCAUGCCGCGUGAAUGAAGAAGGUCUUCGGGUUGUAAAGUUCUUUCGGUAGCGAGGCGUUAACUACAGAAGAAGCACCGGCUAACUUCGUGCCAGCAGCCGCGGUAAUUC